rnacentral:rRNA from 1 species
AUUGAACGCUGGCGGCAGGCCUAACACAUGCAAGUCGAACGAGUGGCGGACGGGUGAGUAAUGUCUGGGAAACUGCCUGAUGGAGGGGGAUAACUAAUGGAAAAGGUAGCUAAUACCGCAUACCAUCGGAUGUGCCCAGAUGGGAUUAGCUAGUAGGUGGGGUAACGGCUCACCUAGGCGACGGUCCCUAGCUGGUCGGAGAGGAUGACCAGCCAGACGGGAACUGAGACACGGUCCAGGCGCCUAUGGGAGGCAGCAGUGGGGAAUAUUGCACAAUGGGCGCAAUCCUGAUGCAGCCAUGCCGCGUGUAUGAAGAAGGCCUUCGGGUUGUAAAGUACUUUCGGCGGUGAGGCGUUACCCGCAGAAGAAGCACCGGCUAACUCCGUGCCAGCAGCCGCGGUAAUAC